UUUAAGAUGUUUUUAUAAAGUACUUUUUUAACCCACUCGUCUUGAAACACGGACCAAGGAGUCUAACAAAUGUGCAAGUGUAUAUGAUAAGAAUAAACAUAGUAUAAAAAUUUCUACGCAUAAUUAAUGUAACAAAAAUAUAUGUUUAUUAAUUGUAGAUUUUGUGGGGUUUUAAAUUUUUUUUAUAAAUCCACACAAAUGCAUACAAUACCGGUGAGCAAUUAUGCUUUAUUGAGUAAGAGCAUACUUGUUAGGACCCGAGAGGCUUUGAACUAAACGUGAUGAGAUUGAAGUCAGAGUAAAAUCUGAUGGAGGAUCGAGUUGAUACUGACGUGCAAAUCGUUCAUUUCAAUUGCGUUUAGGGGCGAAAGACUAAUCGAAAAGCCUAUUAGCUGGUUAUUUUCGAAAGAUCUCUCAGGAUCGCUGGAGUUGAUUAUAAUAUAGUUUUACCUGGUAGAAAUAAUGAUUAGAGGAUUCAAGGAGAUGAUAAUUCCUUGACCUAUAUAUAUCGAAAGAUUCAAUAGGUAAAAAAAUGAGGAAAUAACUUUAUUGUAUUUUCAUUCAUAUUUAAAAAUAAGAUAACUCCAAGUUGGCCAUUUUUGGUAAGCAGAACUGGCGAUGAGGGAUGCUCCUAACGCUUGGAUAAGGUGCCUAAAUAUCCGCUCAUUAGAUACCAUUAAAAAGGUGUUGGUUUGUGAUUACAGUAGGACGGUAUUCAUAGAAGUUGAAAUCCGCUAGGAAGUGUGUAACAACUUACCUACCUAAUAAACUCGCCCUGAAAAUGGAUGGCGCUAAAGCGGAUUACCGAUACCAAGCCAUAAAAAAGAAAAAAAAAAAAAAUUCAAUAUUUUUUUUAUUUUUUUAGAUUCUUUUUAUGAGUAGAAAAUCGUGGGGUUUUGUGUUGAAGCGAAAUACGUGAGUUUUCGUGGAACAUCUCCCUAGUGCAGAUCUUGGUGGAAGUAGCAACUAUUCUUAUGAGAACUUUGAAGACUGAAGUGGAGAAGGGUUUUUUGUAAACUAUGUUUGAGCAAAAGUUAGCCGUUCCUAAGAGAUAGCUGAAAAGCGUUAUAAAUUGAGGUUACCUAUUAUAUGAAAAGUAUAGUAGUGUUUUUUCUCUUCUCGAAAGGGAAGCAGGUUGAUAUUCCUGCGCCAUAUGUAAUAAGAACUAAUAAAUAGAGAUGGUAACAUAUAUAUAAAUAAAUGAACUCCUUAACAUAGGCCUUACGCUUGGAGUGCGUUAUCUUUGCACUUUAACUUUAUAUCAAACCUUCGAAAUCGAUUUACUUGUAGAAAAGGUUCGAUGAAUUUACAAUAAGCAAUUUAUUUAUUAUAUGCGUGGACCGGUACACAUGAUAUAUAUAUUAAUGAAUUGUUUUGUAGUAAUAGUAAUUCGUUUGUUGUACGAAUUAUCCAAAGUUGUAUGGACUAUCCAUGAAAAAAGGAGGGAACACUAAAUUAAAUGGGAAUGUAUAAAAUACUAUAAAAGUAUGAAAGAAGAAAAAGUAAAGAAAGGAAAGAAAAAAAAAUAUUAACCUUCAGCUUUUUUUUCUAUUUUUUUUUUCUUUUUUUGCUUUCAUAUAUUUUUAUAGUGUUUUUACAUUAACCAUUUUUUUUUUUAUAUUCUUAAAUUACAAUUAUAAAAAUGAACGUACCAAUAACCGCAUCAGGUCUCCAAGGUUAGUAGCCUCUGGUUAAAUAGAAAAACGUAGGUAAGGGAAGUAAGCAAAUUAGAUCCGUAACUUCGGGAAAAGGAUUGGCUCUGAUAACACAAAAUGAGAAGAAAAAAAUGAAAAGAAAAAAAUGAAAAGAAUUGUGGUUGAAAAUAAAAAUGUUAAGAUGUUUAUUUAUAUAUUUAUAUUAGUUUUUCUUAUAUUUUAAGAUUAAUUAAUUAAUUAUAUAUUUAAUAUGUUAAAAUGUUUUAUAUUUCUUCUUCUACUCUAUUCUAUUCCAUUCUAUUCUAUUCUAUUUUUUUUUUUCUCUUUCUCUUCGAUAUUACAUAUAUUUUGUUAUUAUAAUAAAAAUUAUGUAAUAUUGUUUAGCUGUGUUUAUUCAGAACUGAAACGGACAAGGGGAAUCCGACUGUUUAAUAAAAACAUAGCAUUGUGAAAAGCUAUAACUGGUAUUAACACAAUGUGAUUUCUGCCCAGUGCUUUGAAUGUCAAGUUGAUGAAAAUUUCAAUUAAGCGCAGGUAAACGGCGGGAGUAACUAUUAUGACUCUCUUAAGGUAGCCAAAAAUGUAUGGUCGAUAAAAAGGACCAUCAGGAAUGGAUUAACGAGAUUCCUACUGUCCCUACUUGCGAUCUAGCGAAACCACAACCAAGGGAAAGGGCUUGGUAAAAUCAGCAGGGAAAGAAGACCCUGUUGUGCUUUACUCUAGUCUGACUUUGUAAAAAGAUUUAAGAGGUAUAGUAUAAGUGGUAGUAGAAAUUGAAAUAAUGUUUUUACGUCAGUGAAAUACCACUACUUUUAAAAAGUUUUUACUAAUCCAUUUAUCUAGUGAAUGACUAUUAUAUAAAUAUAUAUAUAUAUAUAUUUUCUAUAUUUUAUGUGUAUCACUUUUUAUGGAGACAGAGUCAGGUGGGGAGUUUGACUAAGGUGGUACAUCUGUUAAAAAAUAACGCAGAUGUCCAAAGAUAAGCUCAAGGAGAACAGAAAUCUCUUGUAGACUAAAAGGGGAAAAGCUUGUUUGAUUUCUAUUUUCAGAAAGAAUAGAAAACGUGAAAACGUGGCCUAUCGAUCCUUUAUAUUUGCAAAAUGACGUAAAAUUAUUUACUACUGUGCAUAUAAAGGUGUCUGAAAAGUUACCACAGGGAUAACUUGUUUGUGGCUGCUUAGCGAUAUUAGCAACGUGGCUUUUUGUAUUUUCGAUUACGGCUCUUCCUAUCAUUGGGACGCAGAAGUCUCAAAGUGUCGGAUUGUUCACCCGCUAAUAGGGAACGUGAGCUGGGUUUAGACCGUCGUGAGACAGGUUAGUUUUACCCUACUGAUGAAUAUUAUUAUAUUAUUAUAUAUAUAUAUAGUAUUGUGACAGUAAUCCAACUUGGUACGAGAGGAUUAGUUGGUUCAGACAAUUGGUACAGCAAUUGGGUUGAUAAACCAGUGUUGCGAAGCUACGUCUGUUGGAUAAUGACUGAACGAUUCUAAAGUCAGAACCCAUACUGAUUAAACAAUAAUAUAAUUGUAUAUUUUUGUCAUAAG
rnacentral:rRNA from 1 species